AGUGAACGCUGGCGGUAGGCCUAACACAUGCAAGUCGAACGGCAGCACAGUAAGAGCUUGCUCUUACGGGUGGCGAGUGGCGGACGGGUGAGGAAUACAUCGGAAUCUACUUUUUCGUGGGGGAUAACGUAGGGAAACUAACGCUAAUACCGCAUACGACCUACGGGUGAAAGCAGGGGAUCUUCGGACCUUGCGCGAUUGAAUGAGCCGAUGUCGGAUUAGCUAGUUGGCGGGGUAAAGGCCCACCAAGGCGACGAUCCGUAGCUGGUCUGAGAGGAUGAUCAGCCACACUGGAACUGAGACACGGUCCAGACUCCUACGGGAGGCAGCAGUGGGGAAUAUUGGACAAUGGGCGCAAGCCUGAUCCAGCCAUACCGCGUGGGUGAAGAAGGCCUUCGGGUUGUAAAGCCCUUUUGUUGGGAAAGAAAAGCAGCAGGUUAAUACCCCGCUGUUCUGACGGUACCCAAAGAAUAAGCACCGGCUAACUCCGUG
rnacentral:rRNA from 1 species